rnacentral:tRNA from 1 species
GGAGGGUAUAGCUCAGUGGUAGAGCACAUGCUUAGCAUGCAUGAGGUCCUGGGUUCAAUCCCCAGUCCCUCCA